rnacentral:pre_miRNA from 1 species
CUCACCUUGCGGUACUCAAACUAUGGGGGCACUUUUUUUUUUAACUUUAAAAAGUGCCACCUAGUUUUAAGUCCCGCAGGUUGAG